AGGGGUAUAGUUAAUAAUAACAUUUGGGUUGCAUUCAAAAGGAACCUCUGGUUGCCCUUU
rnacentral:tRNA from 1 species